rnacentral:rRNA from 1 species
GUAUGGGGCGASSUUUGUCCGGAAUUAUUGGGCGUAAAGGGUACGUAGGCGGUUUUUUAAGUCAGGUGUGAAAGCCUGAGGCUUAACCUCAUUAAGCACUUGAAACUGGAAGACUUGAGUGAAGGAGAGGAAAGUGGAAUUCCUAGUGUAGMGGUGAAAUGCGUAGAUAUUAGGAGGAAURCCGGUGGCGAAGSCRACUUUCUGGACUUUUACUGACGCUCARGYRCGAAAGCGUGGGKAGCAAACAGGAUUAGAUACCCUGGUAGUCCACGCCGUAAACGAUGAWUGCUAGGUGUUGGGAGUCAAAYCUCAGGYGCCSAAGUUAACACAUUAAGCAUUCCGCCUGGGGAGUACGGHGGCAACWCUG